rnacentral:misc_RNA from 1 species
CUACCACAAGUCGACGACGUCCUUGCAAAAGGGCGUGCAGUCGGACAUUGAGCUUUGCCAGCCGUUCGCGGCUCAGCUAGCUUUAAAUAGAGCGUGAUGCACAGCGAUCCUACUGUUCUUUGCAGGAGUAUCGGUGACGUGGAUAACUUCACAUUUUGUGAACCUUCCAAUACGUGACCGAAGCUCGUAAACUGCUCUGAGCAGCAAGCCGCAAUUGUGCGUCCGAUCGUCACGCAAGUGACAACUCUUUUGA